GCCUGGGGCUGGGACGUGCGCAUGCGCCUGGCUGGGGUGCUCUCUGUCAGCCCAGGGGUGGGGGGGUCCCCGGGCUGUUGGGGCAUGAUGGGAAAGGCCACGUGCUGGGGGAGCGCAGGGGAGGUGCCUGGUCCCACCCAGGACAGGCAGCAUCUUCCCAGGGCGAGUUCUGUCUCAGGUGGGACGUCCUGAGUCCGGACGAGCGAGUCGGUGCCGCAGGAGUAAACAAGUUCAAACCUGAGUGUCGCCACACACGGAGAUCUGGUCUUCACUCUGCCACGGUCCAGCGAGGGUCUUCCAGCUGAGUGUCCUCCGGUGGGGACGCAGAGAUCCAGGGGACUCGCCUGGGGUCACACAGCCCCCUGGAUGGAUGCUCGCCUUCUCGACUCGGACACCCUUGUCCUCGUCCCCUCAGGCAUCCAGAGCCUCGGUCUCCCCAGCAGUUAUCACACGUCCGAAAUGACACGGUGCAGAGCCCGCUCUCGCGCUCCCUGCCUGCUCGGCUCAGGGUCUGAUCAGAGGAAGGACCAGGCCCAGAGCGUGGGGGUCAAUGCCUCAUCCCAGGAGAUGGGCUGACGGAAGGAUCCCGUACCCCGUGCGGAGACCACGCCGCAGCUGCCACUCGGCCCCCUGCUGCAGGGUGGAUGGGUCAGGCUGGGGUCAGGCAGAGGACGGCCACCACUUCGGGGCUUGGGGUGGACUCAGAAAGAGUCUGCACCCCCAUGCACCCCCGCUUUGCAGGGUGGUCCUCACAUUUAUGCCUGCAGCGGCCCCGUGAGUGAGUCACUGAGGAGACAGAGGCUCAGAGAGAGCAGCCACCUGCCGAGCCCACCCAGCCAGCAAGUGGCAGAAGCAGGGCACACACCCAGGUGCUUGGCCUCCAGUCUUUUCUUCCAUAAAUACAUCCUGAGUUGGGCUCACUCGGGGCGAGGGUCCAAGAUCAGCACAGGGAAGAAACAGAGAGCUAAGACUCCGUGCCCGACCCGACGGUCUCGUGCUGGGGGAAGGAGCGUCAGUUCACUGUGGAAUAUUACUCAGCCCCGAAGAGGAAGCCCAGCCUGACCCUGGCUCCAAUACGGAGGGACCUCGAAGACUCCGUGCUGAGUGACAUAGGCCAGGCACAAAGGACAGAUAGCAUAUGACUGCAUUCAUAGGACGUCCCCAGAGGGGUCACAUCCGUAGACAGAAGGGAGGGCGGUGGGCACCAGGGGCUGGGCAGGGGGUGGGGAGCAAGCAUUAGUGGGGCAGAGUGUCUGCUUAGGAGGAUGGGAAAGCUGUGGAGAUGGGCGGUGGUGAUAGCUGCACAGCAGUGUGAAUGUGCUGAACACUAUUGAUCUGCGCUCUUAAAAAGAUGCAG
rnacentral:lncRNA from 1 species